CGACAAUUAGUCAAGACUCAUAAUUGAAAAAGAAACAUGAUUGUUUUCAAAUAAACUCCAACCAAAACUGAUUUGAUAAGUAAACAUCUAAAUUUUACACUCUAAAGAACAAUUAUAGAAGUUCUCAAAGCAAAAUCUAACAAAGGAGUGCCCAAAGGUUCCGGCAAAUACGCUGUUAUCAUCAAAAGCCAAGUAUCAUAAAUGAUGGGAAAAAGGAAGACGGCUCGGAUGACAAGAGUUGCUCCUCUUUUAACUAAAAUCCAUACAGGAUUUGAUCCCUUACUUGGCAGCCAAGGAGGGGAAUUGGCCAACAUCUUCGAUGGAUGGGGCUGAAACGCUGUUGUUUCCAACAUAUCCACCGCCAUAACCUCUUCCACGGCCACGGCCCCUACCACGCCCACCAGAGCGGUAGUAAUUUUCUCCCUCAGCAGGCUUCAGAAACUCGUUUAUGGUUUGAGUCUUUUUGGCUUUUUCCACUGCCUCCUUUUUCUUAUCUUUCUCAGCACCCAAUUUGAUGAAAAUCUCAUCAUCAUUCUUCUUGUUUGAGAGAAGUUGCAUGGAUUGAAGUUCUUUGUCCAAAUUAACCUUUCUUUCCUCCUGCUUUAGAGCCACCAAAGCCUUCCUCUUCUCCUCCAUUACCUUCUCAUACUCCUCGAGGGUCAUCUCCUUCUCCUCAGGUUCCUUCUCUUCUAGCUCAGCAGCAGUAGAAUCCUUGUUGUCAUCUCCAGCAUCUUCCUGCCCAGUUUGUUUCUCAGCCUCAACAAUCUUCUCACCAUCAACAACAGGUACUUCAGUCUCCAGUGCAAUAUCAUCUGCAGUAGUUCCCCAAUUCCCACGACCAGAGCCCUCCCGUUUAAUAUACUCAUUCCCACGGCCAGUGCCACUUCGUCGAUCAAACACUCUCCUUGGGCGUUCAAUUUCUCCAUCAGCAGCAUCACCAUUAUUGAAACCACCACGACGACCUCCGUAGAAGCCCCCACGAGAUCCACCGUAUCCACCUCUCCUUUCAGAGACCUUUCCUGAUUCUCCAUUUUCUGGAGCACUGUACCUCCCAGAGAAUCCAUUAUUGCUGCCAAAAGCAUUCUCAUCAGCAGCAAAGUCUUGGUUAAACCCACGUCCACGUCCACGACCACGGCCCCCUCCACGUGGACCCCCGCGGCCUCCUCCUCUCUGGCCAUCACUCCUGGCUUCCCUCACAGCCUGUGAAGGAGGAACCGGCUUGGAGGGCAACUUAGCAGCAGGCUUAGCAGGCUGAACUGGACCCUUCUUGGCUGGUGCAGAUGCAACAGGAGCCUUUAGCUGCUGAGCAGCAACUAGCAAACUUGGGUCCUCAGCAUCAUCAUCCAAAAGGUCGAAUGGGUUCAAAGUAGCCAUUCUUUUUCACUCUUCUCGGAGUUCCUAAACAGAUAUAGAGAGAGGGUGAUGCAAAAGAACCGAUUUUUUUUCAAGAAAUCAACGAAAACUCUACAGAUUAAAAUCCAUGUAAAGAUGAAUUUAUGGGUAAAUUUGAAGAGAAACAAAUUUGUGGGUGUUAUGAAAACCUAACCAAAGCGGCUGAUAAUUGAAGGACUGAAGUGAAA
rnacentral:misc_RNA from 1 species